GAUGAACGCUGGCGGCGUGCCUAAUACAUGCAAGUCGAGCGAAGCGGGGACGGGUGAGUAACACGUGGAUAACCUCCUAUAAGACUGGGAUAACUUCGGGAAACAGGAGCUAAACCGGAUACAUAUAAAUGGAUCCUGGCUGCAUUAGCUAGUGGGUAAGGUAACGGACUACCAAGGCAACGAUGCAUAGCCGACCUGAGAGGGUGAUCGGCCACACUGGAACUGAGACACGGUCCAGACUCCGACGGGAGGCAGCAGUAGUGAAUCUUCCGCAAUGGGCGAAAGCCUGACGGAGCAACGCCGCGUGAGUGAUGAAGGUCUUCGGAUCGUAAAACUCUGUUAUUAGGGAAGCGUUACCUAAUCAGAAAGCCACGGCUAACUACGUGCCAGCAGCCGCGGUAAUUC
rnacentral:rRNA from 1 species